GACGAACGCUGGCGGCGUGCUUAACACAUGCAAGUCGAACGAAGAGCGAUGGAAGCUUGCUUCUAUCAAUCUUAGUGGCGAACGGGUGAGUAACGCGUAAUCAACCUGCCCUUCAGAGGGGGACAACAGUUGGAAACGACUGCUAAUACCGCAUACGAUCCAAUCUCGGCAUCGAGACUGGAUGAAAGGUGGCCUCUAUUUAUAAGCUAUCACUGAAGGAGGGGAUUGCGUCUGAUUAGCUAGUUGGAGGGGUAACGGCCCACCAAGGCGAUGAUCAGUAGCCGGUCUGAGAGGAUGAACGGCCACAUUGGGACUGAGACACGGCCCAGACUCCUACGGGAGGCAGCAGUGGGGAAUCUUCCGCAAUGGACGAAAGUCUGACGGAGCAACGCCGCGUGAGUGAUGACGGCCUUCGGGUUGUAAAGCUCUGUUAAUCGGGACGAAGGUUCUUGUGCAAAUAGUGCGAG
rnacentral:rRNA from 1 species